rnacentral:rRNA from 1 species
AUUGAACGCUGGCGGCAUGCCUUACACAUGCAAGUCGAACGGCAGCGGGCCCUUCGGGGUGCCGGCGAGUGGCGAACGGGUGAGUAAUGCAUCGGAACGUACCCGGGAGAGGGGGAUAACCGGCCGAAAGGCUGGCUAAUACCGCAUGAACUCGGAAGAGCAAAGCGGGGGACCUUCGGGCCUCGCGCUCUCGGAGCGGCCGAUGUCCGAUUAGGCUAGUUGGUGGGGUAAAGGCCCACCAAGGCGACGAUCGGUAGCGGGUCUGAGAGGACGAUCCGCCACACUGGGACUGUGACACGGCCCAGACUCCUACGGGAGGCAGCAGUGGGGAAUCUUGGACAAUGGGCGCAAGCCUGAUCCAGCAAUGCCGCGUGGGUGAAGAAGGCCUUCGGGUUGUAAAGCCCUUUCGGCGGGGAAGAAAUCGGUCAGGCGAAUAGUCUGGCCGGAUGACGGUACCCGCAGAAGAAGCACCGGCUAACUACGUG